AAAUGGUGCUGAGCGCACUGUGGUUAGUGGGUCAAUGGAAGUUAUUCAACCUUGUUGGGCUGUUGCAACCUCUGGCGUACCUGUACGAGAACAACUCUUUAAUGCUUCCAUAUGCCAUUAUUCCCCUUUCAACUUCUUUCAACACGGAGAACUUUCAAGAUUUGGCCGUACUCCAGACAUGGCAUCUUUGGAGGUUGCAACUCCCAUUCUUAUCCCAAGAA
rnacentral:misc_RNA from 1 species